rnacentral:rRNA from 1 species
GAGCUGAAGAGUUUGAUCAUGGCUCAGAUUGAACGCUGGCGGCAGGCCUAACACAUGCAAGUCGAGCGGAUGAGAAGAGCUUGCUCUUCGAUUCAGCGGCGGACGGGUGAGUAAUGCCUAGGAAUCUGCCUGGUAGUGGGGGACAACGUUUCGAAAGGAACGCUAAUACCGCAUACGUCCUACGGGAGAAAGCAGGGGACCUUCGGGCCUUGCGCUAUCAGAUGAGCCUAGGUCGGAUUAGCUAGUUGGUGAGGUAAUGGCUCACCAAGGCUACGAUCCGUAACUGGUCUGAGAGGAUGAUCAGUCACACUGGAACUGAGACACGGUCCAGACUCCUACGGGAGGCAGCAGUGGGGAAUAUUGGACAAUGGGCGAAAGCCUGAUCCAGCCA